UUGAAGGUUGGGUAACACUAACUGGAGGACCGAACCGACUAAUGUUGAAAAAUUAGCGGAUGACCUGUGGCUGGGGGUGAAAGGCCAAUCAAACCGGGAGAUAGCUGGUUCUCCCCGAAAGCUAUUUAGGUAGCGCCUCGUGAAUUCAUCUCCGGGGGUAGAGCACUGUUUCGGCUAGGGGGCCAUCCCGGCUUACCAACCCGAUGCAAACUGCGAAUACCGGAGAAUGUUAUCACGGGAGACACACGGCGGGUGCUAACGUCCGUCGUGAAGAGGGAAACAACCCAGACCGCCAGCUAAGGUCCCAAAGUCAUGGUUAAGUGGGAAACGAUGUGGGAAGGCCCAGACAGCCAGGAUGUUGGCUUAGAAGCAGCCAUCAUUUAAAGAAAGCGUAAUAGCUCACUGGUCGAGUCGGCCUGCGCGGAAGAUGUAACGGGGCUAAACCAUGCACCGAAGCUGCGGCAGCGA
rnacentral:rRNA from 1 species